GACGAACUGUCCUAACGUUGUUCGGAAUCACUGGGCUUAAAGGGCGCGUAGGCGGUCCGACAAGUCAGGGGUGAAAUCCUGCAGCUUAACUGUAGAAGUGCCUCUGAUACUGUCGGUCUUGAGGGAGAUAGGGGUGCGCGGAACUUCCAGUGGAGCGGUGAAAUGCGUUGAUAUUGGAAGGAACGCCGGAGGCGAAAGCGGCGCACUGGGAUCU
rnacentral:rRNA from 1 species